AUUCUGAAUUUGUCUUAUUGUUUGCUCAUGAUGUUAUUAACUUCCCUUUCUCCUCAAUUCCCUGUGAUCUAGAAAAGCUAGGUCUCAAGGCUUGAUUGGAUUCAGGUUAAAUAUUUUUGACAAGAAUACUUCAGAGAUGUUGUGAACUUCGUGUUGCAUCAUAUCAGGAGAACAUGCUGUCAGACUGCCACGCUCUUACUGAUGUUAAGUUUGAUUACUUGGCUAAGGGCAUCACACCUACCUAUUGUGAUAAAACUAAAACUGUUCCACGGCUGUUAAGCUGCAUCAUAAAGCUUCACUGAGGAAUUAGGGCAUUAGUUGAGUAUGAAAAAAGUAAUAAUGCCAUGAAAUGAAGACACCCCUUGAAAACAGAAAUUUCCAAAGGGCAAUAUAUUCAUGGUCUACAAUUUACACACGGAGACAAAACACACCUUAGGAACCACAACACAAUGUCAGUACCAAGAGAAGGAUGCAAACAACUCUUCAGGAGCAACUGAAUGGGCAUCAGGGCUGCCUGCCCCACCGCCGACAUCUGGUUGCCCCCACCCACCGUGUCGCAGUCCUGCUGUGUUGCUGGCCUUGCUUCAGCUCCAGGCAAGCUUCCAGAAAUCAUGGCCUGCACACCUGAAGUGAGCAGAUCUCUGUCUACUUGUCCUUUAAAUGGACACUGCUUUUUCUGUUGGGAAGACAGAUAAAUGUAUCGGAGGCUCUUGGAUGACAGUAUUGUCCUGGCAGGGGUCCAGGGUGGCUGGGAAGAGAGAGAGAGCAUUUAAUGGGUCUGGCAGCAGAGCAGUCGAGGUGUGGCUGCCUGUAGCAGGGGACGAGGACCUCUGGCGAUGACAUUAUCUGAGCUUGGGUGGGCUCUCAGCUCAAGUUGCAGAUGGCCAGGCACCUCUGGCUGGCAGCCAGCCAGUUGACAGAUUACAUUCUGUAACCAUGAGGUAAGUUUGGAAGAAGGUUAAGAAAAGCAGUUAUUCUUUAGUCAGUCACUUGGGUGUUGCCUGUGUCCCCAUAACAUCUUAAAUUCGGGAAGCACAGGGAAUCUAUGUCUUGCUUGCCUUUAUGCCAUUACCCUAACCUCUGGCACACGUGAGCUUCCUCUUGCCUUUAGGAACACACUCCAGGAUCUUACAAUGGCCUAAUGUCACCACUACCCCCUCACCCUCCCCAAAUUUCAUCUUCUUCCCCAUCUCCAGCUUCUCCUCCUGCCUUGCUUCCCCUUCAUACACAGAUUGGAUAGAAGUUCUGACUCCUGAAGUGGCCCUUCAGAGCUUAUUCUCCAGCCCUUUCCACAGCACUCAGCACCAUGAACUGCAGCUCUCUCUCCCUUGGCUUCUGGAACUCACUCUCUCCUGGGCUUGGUUCCUUGAGCGAUUCUUCUCAGGCGACUCUUUAAAUGUCUGUUUCCCUCUGAGCCCUGUCCAGGGCUCUCUGCUUUAUUUCUUACUCUCCAUGUCCUGCCUGGGUCCUUCAUUCAAAUUUACAACUACAACCUCUGCUUCUGUCUCCAGCCCAGCUCUCUCUCCCAAACUCCACAUAUUAUAUAACUCCACCAGCCCAGCCCACAGGUACACUGAACUCAAUGGGGCCAAGACAGGGGACAAGCUCCAAAUGGGAUUCCUCUCUUUCUAAAGAACACCAGCAUCUAUAAGCCAGAAACCUGCCAGUCAUCCUAGAAUCCUCUGGGUAUACAUCUUAUGUGACAGUCACCAUUAUUAAGAUGUUGCCAUCUGAAUAUGUGACAUACUUAACCCUUUCUUCAAACCUUCCAUCACAGUGUGUCAUUGUUUGGUACCCCUCAUGUGAAAGACGCCCUGCUGCCUCUUCCCCUCCAAGCCAGCCUGAGUGAGUUGCCCUGCCUCUGGGACCCAAUAGCACCAAUAGCCUUCAGCCCCUUCUUCUACUGUAGAACUUAUGACUAAAUAUUUUAAUCAUGUGUUUCCUUCUUCCUCUCCUAUACUAGGCUGUGAUUUCCUCCAGGACGACUGUGUCAUAACAGUUUUGAAAUCUCCAACAAACAGCGUACAUAGGGCCUGGCACACAGUAGUUACAAAAUCAGUGUUUGUUGCAUGAAUUAUUCAACAAAAGGGUGACAAAACUAUAGUAUAGUUUUAUACUAUAAAAGUUCAUUGAUACAUUUUGGUCCACAUAGAAAAGAAGAGAAAAAAACCACUGACAGUCCCAUCACCCAACUGAACUAUAAUCACACUUGGGUAUAUUUUCUUAUCUUUACUUCUAUGGGUAAGAUUUAUUUUUACCUAAGUAUAAUCAUACUGCACUUGUAAUUUUGAAUCCUGCUUUUCUACUACAAAUAUAUAUUUUUCAUAUUAUUAAAUAUUUUUCCAGCUUUC